GCCUAUUGGGGGCAGCAUUACACAUGCAGUCGACGAUGAUUCUCUAGCUUGCUAGAUAAGAUUAGUGGCGGACGGGCUGAGUAACAUUUAGGAAUCUGCCUAGUAGUGGGGGAUAGCUCGGGGAAACUCGAAUUAAUACCGCAUACGACCUACGGGUGAAAGGGGGCGCAAGCUCUUGCUAUUAGAUGAGCCUAAAUCAGAUUAGCUAGUUGGUGGGGUAAAGGCCCACCAAGGCGACGAUCUGUAACUGGUCUGAGAGGAUGAUCAGUCACACCGGAACUGAGACACGGUCCGGACUCCUACGGGAGGCAGCAGUGGGGAAUAUUGGACAAUGGGGGCAACCCUGAUCCAGCCAUGCCGCGUGUGUGAAGAAGGCCUUUUGGUUGUAAAGCACUUUAAGCAGGGAGGAGAGGCUAAUGGUUAAUACCCAUUAGAUUAGACGUUACCUGCAGAAUAAGCACCGGCUAACUCUGUGCCAGCAGCCGCGGUAAUACAGAGGGUGCGAGCGUUAAUCGGAAUUACUGGGCGUAAAGCGAGUGUAGGUGGCUCAUUAAGUCACAUGUGAAAUCCCCGGGCUUAACCUGGGAACUGCAUGUGAUACUGGUGGUGCUAGAAUAUGUGAGAGGGAAGUAGAAUUCCAGGUGUAGCGGUGAAAUGCGUAGAGAUCUGGAGGAAUACCGAUGGCGAAGGCAGCUUCCUGGCAUAAUAUUGACACUGAGAUUCGAAAGCGUGGGUAGCAAACAGGAUUAGAUACCCUGGUAGUCCACGCCGUAAACGAUGUCUACUACCCGUUGGGGUCCUUGAGACUUUAGUGGCGCAUUUAACGCAUAAUAACCGCCUGGGGAGUACGGCCGCAGGUUAAACUCAAUGAAUUGACGGGGGCCCGCACAGCGGUGGGAGCAUGUGGUUUUAAUUCAUUGGCAACGCGAAAACCCUUACCUUG
rnacentral:rRNA from 1 species